rnacentral:misc_RNA from 1 species
GAUGAAGAACGCAGCGAAAUGCGAUACGUAAUGUGAAUUGCAAAUUCAGUGAAUCAUCGAGUCUUUGAACGCACAUUGCGCCCCCUGGUAUUCCGGGGGGCAUGCCUGUCCGAGCGUCAUUGCUGCCCUCAAGCACGGCUUGUGUGUUGGGCCCCGUCCUCCGAUCCCGGGGGACGGGCCCGAAAGGCAGCGGCGGCACCGCGUCCGGUCCUCGAGCGUAUGGGGCUUUGUCACCCGCUCUGUAGGCCCGGCCGGCGCUUGCCGAUCAACCCAAAUUUUAUCCAGGUUGACCUCGGAUCAGGUAGGGAUACCCGCUGAACUUAAGCAUAUCAAUAAGCGGAGGA